rnacentral:rRNA from 1 species
UACGUAGGGGGCUAGCGUUGUCCGGAUUUAUUGGGCGUAAAGAGCUCGUAGGCGGUGUGUCGCGUCGGCCGUGAAAACCUGCAGCUUAACUGUGGGCGUGCGGUCGAUACGGGCAUCACUGGAGUUCGGCAGGGGAGACUGGAAUUCCUGGUGUAGCGGUGAAAUGCGCAGAUAUCAGGAGGAACACCGGUGGCGAAGGCGGGUCUCUGGGCCGAUACUGACGCUGAGGAGCGAAAGCGUGGGGAGCGAACAGG